rnacentral:rRNA from 1 species
UACGUAGGGUGCGAGCGUUAAUCGGAAUUACUGGGCGUAAAGUGUGCGCAGGCGGCUGAGCAAGUCGAGUGUGAAAGCCCCGGGCUUAACUUGGGAAUUGCGCUCGAAACUACUUGGCUUGAGUGUGGCAGAGGAAGGUGGAAUUCCACGUGUAGCGGUGAAAUGCGUAGAGAUGUGGAGGAAUACCGAUGGCGAAGGCAGCCCCCUGGGAUAACACUGACGCUCAUGCACGAAAGCGUGGGGAGCAAACAGG